AUUGAAAGGGUGUUUGAUUCCCAAUUGAUAGCCUUUCAAUUAAUAUAUGCCAUAUGCGGCUCAACAUUCCACUUCCGCCGCGCUUCUUUUUCACGAUUCAGGUUAGGUUCUUCAUUUCUAUCUCUUUUCUAUUAAAAAAUUAUUUUUUUUUCAAUGUUUGAAUCCUUUCUUCCAAAACCUUUACUUUCUCAUCUCUGACCCAUCUCUCUACUUUUCUCUCAGUCAUAACAAUAAGGAAUGGUAAAACGCUUCAAUUUCUGAGAGAAUGAAAUUAAGGUCUGAAUUUCUCUCCUGAGAUGGAGAAGACGACAACAAAAACAUUUUCAGAAUUUUUCUUCUUCAUCAUCUUCGAUUUUCUUAAAAUGCACAAAUUGCACGAAAAAGAACUUUUGAAAAAUCAUGGCUUCGAGAUUUUGGACUCAGGGUGUGAGUGAUUUAGAAGAGGAGGAACAAAGUGAUUAUGAUGAGGAAAUUGAAAUUGCAACAGUUGAAUCUGCUGUAACUCAAGGCAAUAAAAUCACUUAUUACCUUCAGGGUAAUGCUAUUGACAGUGAUGAUGAGGACGCUCAUAAGCGUGUUGUUAAAUCUACGAAAGAUAAGCGAUUUAAUGAGAUAGCUUAUAAGGAACGCCUGCUUAUCAAGUGGAAUGAGCUGCCAAUGAGGAUGGAAGAACUCCCAGCAUUUGGAAUACCUUUGCUCAUGCUGGGUUUGCACAUGGUGGAAAUGGUGAUGUAGUCCGCGACGCGUACCUUUAAUACAAGGUGAGAGGACAAAAAAGAGCCACUACUAUGAUCUUCGUCAACAGGAGCCCUUGGAAGCUCGAACGACGAUAGUUCAUCUUAAGUAGCUAUGAUACGUUGGUGUUUAAAGGGAAAAGCGUUUGUGACCUUCAGCUUAACACUGCAGAGGCAAAGGGAGAUCAGAAUUAGCAAAGUGAUGCAAAAGGUUGGCAUAUAUUUUUUCGAAUUCUCGAGGUCUUUGAGGACUACGGGUCAUCUGCAACAUGUUAGAACUUAGAAACCUAUAUGCCGCAUUCUGAAGUGCACUGAAUAGAUUAUACAAUUAUUAUCAAAUAUAAUGCUAAUGUUCAACAAAUUAGUGAUAUAUUAAAAAGGUUGCAAGUGCAUUGUUGUCUUAAAAGGCGUUGUAGUGAUAUCUAUCCCCGUGAAUAUUACAAAUAAGUAAAAUGGUAAAAAAAUUAUAACUUACAGGAUGUGCAAUUUACCCUUGGUGGUUGAAGCAAGAUGUCUAUCGCAUUCUGGUAUCCAGUAGACGGUCAACCAUGGCACGCUUGGGACAUUAUUCGAUUAACUGUGAUUGGGUUGCAAUUGAUAUAUCGAGCAGUUCCGCUUCUUUGAGAGGCAAGUCAGUAGGCACAACAUCAAGUAGCUCAUGGAAUAUUGCAAGUGCAUUUUCACUUAUACUUUCUGUAGUAGCAAUAUGUGUGUCUCUGUUUGUGAGUUAUAGAGUUUUGCAUCCCAAGGGUGUUCUGUUUAUGAGUUAACAGCUUGAGUUUAAGAUUGUACUAUUCAUUAACGAUGGUACUAAACAGGUUUGUAGUACUAAAAUGUUUGGUGAUUUCACUUGGUUUAUUUUUAAAUUC